rnacentral:misc_RNA from 1 species
GUUCAGAGCUGCAUUCUUGAGAAGUCACCCCCAGCAAACAGAUUGCUGCCCAACAUUUAUCUGGCAUGGUAGAGCUCGAGACCAGAAAUAAUAAUCGAUUGAGCCAAUCAUCAACGGCAGACUUCCAGCGUUCAAUUAGCUUAUCAUCCAUGGAACCGGUGAUGGAUUCAGCUAAAAGCUUGAAAGUUUGAAUAGUGGAGACAACCCUUGACAGCUUCAAUGGUGUGCCUAGUGGCUUCUUCUCGUCUGGGACAUCUUCCUUCAAUAAUGCACGGAGCAUACGAGGCUUCAGAGCAACAUCAUACAUAUCCUUCAAGUUCUCCAAGGCGGCCAUUGUAUUGUAG